rnacentral:rRNA from 1 species
AGUGAACGCUGGCGGUAGGCCUAACACAUGCAAGUCGAACGGCAGCACAGUAAGAGCUUGCUCUUCCGGGUGGCGAGUGGCGGACGGGUGAGGAAUACAUCGGAAUCUACUUUUUCGUGGGGGUUAACGUAGGGAAACUUACGCUAAUACCGCAUACGCCCUACGGGUGAAAGCAGGGGAUCUUCGCACCUUGCGCGAUUGAAUGAGCCGAUGUCGGAUUAGCUAGUUGGCGGGGUAAAGGCCCACCAAGGCGACGAUCCGUAGCUGGUCUGAGAGGAUGGUCAGCCACACUGGAACUGAGACACGGUCCAGACUCCUACGGGAGGCAGCAGUGGGGAAUAUUGGACAAAGGGCGCAAGCCUGAUCCAGCCAUACCGCGUGGGUGAAGAAGGCCUUCGGGUUGUGAAGCCCUUUUGUUGGGAAAGAAAAGCAGCAGGUUAAUACCCCGCUGUUCUGACGGUACCCAAAGAAUAAGCACCGGCUAACUUCGUG